rnacentral:rRNA from 1 species
UUGUGCCUACGGGGGGCAGCAGUGGGGAAUAUUGCACAAUGGGGGGAACCCUGAUGCAGCGACGCCGCGUGGGUGAAGGAGUACUUCGGUACGUAAAGCCCUAUCAGCAGGAAAGAAAAUGACGGUACCUGACUAAGAAGCCCCGGCUAACUACGUGCCAGCAGCCGCGGUAAUACGUAGGGGGCAAGCGUUAUCCGGAUUUACUGGGUGUAAAGGGAGCGUAGACGGCGAUGCAAGUCUGAAGUGAAAGGCGGGGGCCCAACCCCCGGACUGCUUUGGAAACUGUAUGGCUGGA